rnacentral:lncRNA from 1 species
AGUAUUCUUGCCUGGAGAAUCCCCUGAACAGAGGAGCCUGGCAGGCUACAAUUGAUGCGUCACAAAAGAGUUGGACACCACUUAGCGACCAAACCACCACAGUAGGUGCUCAAUAAAGUGAUGUUGGAAAAGUAAACGAGGCCAAGAUGGAGCUCACACAUGGGUAGCAAGAAGAGUUCUGAGUUCUAGAAACUCUCAAUGACUUUUGCAAUUGGUUUGGUAGGUCAUCCAGGUACUAAUCUUUUCUAAGUUCUAACAAUUACCUAAAGGAAGACGGAUCAAAGACAUUUCACACAGUGAAUGCAUGUCUUUGAACUUCCUGAAGUUAACUGGGUGGAGGCCCUACCGUUUUAGGUUGGCACGUUAACGCGGCACCUGCAAUUUCCGCCCUUCUCUUUUCCUCUCUUCCUGGCUCCGGGUCCCUGUUCUUCGCUCCGCCCGCGGCCCACCGCCCGCUGGGUCAACCCGGGCCCUGGGAAUAGCGCGUCCCCCUGUCAGGAGGAAACAGGUAAUCAUCACGUUUUAAACCACGGAAGCAUGAGGUCUCUAAGGGAAAGCUUUAUUUUGGAUAGAAAAAAUUCAGCCUACGAAAAAUGAGGGAAUACAGUCAAACCUCUCUGCCUCCUGUCAUGUUACGGCCUCCAGGGUCCCCUCAAAGCCUCCACCUAAGGACGCCGUCUUUCCCUCUCAGAGGCUGAAGGCCUUUUGAGAGCCUCUUCCCAGGCCUCACCUCCCGCCA